rnacentral:tRNA from 1 species
GGGAGUAGCUCGGCGCCUGGUGGGCCGCCCGGACUUCAAAUCCGUGUGGUGGGCUGACGAGGUCCACGGUGGGUUCGAUUCCCAUCUACUCCCGCCA